rnacentral:tRNA from 1 species
GGGAUUGUGGCUCAGUGGUAGAGCACUUGCCUAGCAUGUGUGAGGCCCUGGGUUCGAUCCUCAGCACCA